AUUGAACGCUGGCGGCAUGCUUUACACAUGCAAGUCGAACGGCAGCGCGGGCUUCGGCCUGCCGGCGAGUGGCGAACGGGUGAGUAAUGCAUCGGAACGUGCCCAGUAUUUGGGGAUAGCCCGGCGAAAGCCGGAUUAAUACCGCAUACGACCUGAGGGUGAAAGCGGGGGACCGAAAGGCCUCGCGCUAUUUGCGCUGCCGAUGUCGGAUUAGCUAGUUGGUGGGGUAAAGGCUUACCAAGGCGACGAUCCGUAGCUGGUCUGAGAGGACGACCAGCCACACUGGGACUGAGACACGGCCCAGACUCCUACGGGAGGCAGCAGUGGGGAAUUUUGGACAAUGGGGGCAAGCCUGACCCAGCCAUGCCGCGUGCGUGAAGAAGGCCUUCGGGUUGUAAACCGCUUUUGUUCGGGAAGAAAACCUCUGGGCUAAUACCCCGGGGGGAUGACGGUACCGGAAGAAUAAGCACCGGCUAACUACGUG
rnacentral:rRNA from 1 species